rfam:Salmo salar isolate Sally breed double haploid chromosome ssa20, whole genome shotgun sequence.
UGCGCUCAGGACUGAAAAUCACUUUGGAUAAAAGUGUCUGCUAAAUGGCAUAUA